rnacentral:rRNA from 1 species
UUAAAUGAGAGUUUGAUCCUGGCUCAGGAUUAACGCUGGCGGCGUGCCUAACACAUGCAAGUCGAACGGCAGCAUGUCUGUAGCAAUACAGAUGAUGGCGAGUGGCGGACGGGUGAGUAAUACAUAAAUUAUCUGCCUUUCAGACGGGGACAACCUAGGGAAACUUGGGCUAAUACCCGAUACGAUUUGAGGAGAGCAUUCUCCUUUAAGGAAAACACUUAGAUGGCUGAAAGAUGAAUUUAUGCCUGAUUAGUUAGUUGGCGGAGUAACAGCCCACCAAGACGAUGAUCAGUAGCUGGUCUGAGAGGACGAACAGCCACACUGGAACUGAGACACGGUCCAGACUCCUACGGGAGGCAGCAGUGAGGAAUUUUGCUCAAUGGGCGCAAGCCUGAAGCAGCGACGCCGCGUGAAUGAUGAAGUCUUUCGGGAUGUAAAGUUCUGUCAACAGGGACAAUAAUGAUGGUACCUGUGGAGGAAGCACCGGCAAACUAUGUGCCAGCAGCCGCGGUAAUACAUAGGGUGCAAGCGUUAUCCGGAUUUACUGGGCGUAAAGCGUAUGUAGGCGGUAUUCUAAGUCAAACUUCAAAUCCCGGGGCUCAACUUCGGUUCGGGUUUGAUACUGGAAUACUAGAGUUUGGGAGAGGAAAGCGGAACUAACAGUGUAGCGGUGAAAUGCGUAGAUAUUGUUAGGAACACCCGUGGCGAAGGCGGCUUUCUGGAUCAAUACUGACGCUGAGAUACGAAAGCGUGGGGAGCAAACAGGAUUAGAUACCCUGGUAGUCCACGCUGUAAACGAUGCACAUUAGGUAUAGGGGGUAUCGACUCCCUCUGUGCCGAAGCUAACGCGUUAAAUGUGCCGCCUGGGGAGUACGAUCGCAAGAUUAAAACUCAAAGGAAUUGACGGGGGCCCGCACAAGCAGUGGAUCAUGUGGUUUAAUUCGACGAUACCCGAAAAACCUUACCAGAACUUGACAUCUGGGGAAUUUCACAGAAGUGUGAAAGUGCCCGCAAGGGAGCCUCAAGACAGGUGGUGCAUGGUUGUCGUCAGCUCGUGUCGUGAGAUGUUAGGUUAAGUCCUGCAACGAGCGCAACCCUCGUGUUGUGUUGCUACAUUAAGUUGAGCACUCUCAACAGACUGCCCGUGGUAAACGGGAGGAAGGUGGGGAUGAUGUCAAAUCAUCAUGCCCUUUAUGUUCUGGGCUACACACAUGAUACAAUGGCAAGUACAAAGGGACGCCAAGCCGCAAGGCGGAGCAAAUCUCAAAAAACUUGCCUCAGUUCAGAUUGCAGGCUGCAACUCGCCUGCAUGAAGAUGGAAUUGCUAGUAAACGCAGAUCAGCAUGCUGCGUUGAAUACGUUCCCGGGCCUUGUACACACCGCCCGUCACACCAUGAAAGCCGGAUAUAUCCGAAGUCAGUGAGCCAACCGCAAGGAGGCAGCUGCCUAAGAUAGAGUCGGUGAUUGGGGUGAAGUCGUAACAAGGUAGCCGUACCGGAAGGUGUGGCUGGAUCACCUCCUUU